rnacentral:rRNA from 1 species
AUUGAACGCUAGCGGCAUGCUUUACACAUGCAAGUCGAACGAGUGGCGGACGGGUGAGUAAUAUAUCGGAACGUGCCCCGUAGCGGGGGAUAACUACUUGAAAGAGGCGCUAAUACCGCACACUAUUGGAGCGGCCGAUAUCGGAUUAGCUAGUUGGUGGGGUAAAGGCUCACCAAGGCAACGAUCCGUAGCUGGUUUGAGAGGACGAACAGCCACACUGGGACGGAGACACGGCCCAGACUCCUACGGGAGGCAGCAGUGGGGAAUAUUGCACAAUGGGGGAAACCCUGAUGCAGCCAUGCCGCGUGUAUGAGAAGGCCUUCGGGUUGUAAAGUACUUUUGGCGGGGAAGCGGUACCCGCAGAAUAAGCACCGGCUAACUCCGUGCCAGCAGCCGCGGUAAUAC